rnacentral:rRNA from 1 species
UACGAAGGGGGCUAGCGUUGCUCGGAAUCACUGGGCGUAAAGGGUGCGUAGGCGGGUCUUUAAGUCAGGGGUGAAUCCUGGAGCUCAACUCCAGAACUGCCUUUGAUACUGGCGAUCUCGAGUCCGGGAGAGGUGAGUGGAACUGCGAGUGUAGAGGUGAAAUUCGUAGAUAUUCGCAAGAACACCAGUGGCGAAGGCGGCUCACUGGCCCGGUACUGACGCUGAGGUGCGAAAGCGUGGGGAGCAAACAGG